rnacentral:lncRNA from 1 species
GGGGUAUUAAAAAGACAGGCCAGAGUUUGAGAUCUACUGCCAACCUCCCUUGCAGAGUUAGGGAACAUUUUACUUGGAAAAAAAAGGUCUUCUCUUCCUGCAGAGAUCCACGGCUGUAUUCUCCUGCAGAGCCUGAGCCCUGCCUGGCAGAGUAGGCAAAAAUACAUCGAACUGCUGUACCCCAGUCUUGACUUCAUACCCAUCUGUGUGGCAUCGUUCAGGAUAUCCCAACGUCUGGCUUCCUCUUCCUUCAAAAAUCCUCUGAUACUUCACUUCAAAGACCCAUCAGGUGCAGGAUGGCUUUUGAUAUCAAUGACCAUUGGAAACAAAGACAACCAGAAGUGUGAACUCACUCUCACCCCAAUAAUUCCACUGUGAUAACACAGGUUAAUGCUGAAAAUAAUUCAGGUCACUGUGUGAAUCUACCAGACCAUAGCAGGUUCUUUACAGGCAUUUCAAUUUAUCAUGGUGUAUUUUAAAAAGUCAGAAAAAUGCCCCUUAAUCUGUAGCUGGGACAGAAAGCUGUCCUAUUGACAAAUUUGAGUUUCACCUACAAACCCUCAACUCGUGUUCCUGUAUGUUCAGCAUAGCUUGGAAAGGAAGAGAGGGGAAAUAAAGGCUGUAGCCAGAUUUACA